GCCAGUGUGGUGUAGUGGUUUGAGUGUUGGACUACAGCCCUGGGGACAAGGGUUCAAAUUCCUUCUCAGCCA